CUUGUAGCAAGCAACCAAAUGGAACAAGCAGCUAUAAACCCAGACAGCAUUCAGCGUCUUAUAUCAAUGGCCAGACUGGAGACCCCAAGGAUGAGAUCAAGGACAAUGGAAGGUCUUCAGAUUUUUACUUGAAACCUGCUGCCUUAUGUGGAUGACAUCACCAUUAGAAACAGAUCAGAUAUUUCAACAUACUUGCUAGAUGAACAAGAAUUCUUAAGCUUUAAAAAGAAGACAUUCAGAAAAACUCAGAUGCCUCUGCUAUACUUUUGUUUUAUAUGAAUUGCCUAAGAUGACAAUUACAAGAGCAUAAAAUGAAAUUUAAAGAAAGUAGAGGUACAAAGUGAGAUAAUGGACAUUUACAUGGAUUUGUCAUUUUUAUUACACACAGAUGUAACAUGUAUAAGACAUUUGACUCAGGUUUGCAAAAGGUUGUUGUCACAAAUAGCAAUAAAAGUGUCACUUUUGAAUUA